ensembl:lncRNA
GUUUACUUAAGACAUUAGUUUUUCUGUGUAAGGUUUUGGGGACCAGGUCGGGGUCACUUCGUUUUUAACCCGUUUGCUAUGUUCCUGUACCCCUAGACUGGGGCGUAACAUACUGUUACUACACACUAUUCUUGGUACAGCAGUUCUUGCACAGUAUUUUUAUAUCCACCAUGACUUCUUUAAUAUGUUUUUCUUUUUUAUAGGGUUAUGUGGAACAGUCAUAUUAAUCAUACUACACAUUAUUAUUAUUAUUAUUAUUGUUCUUCUUCUUAUUCGGCAGCACUUCACUGGACUUCUUACAGAUAUUUACAGAGGGGUGGAACUUAACUUUCCUCUCCAAUAGGAAAUGAGAUCUGACUUAUUAAGCCAGUCAGAUCACAGUUUGAGGAAAAUUACUGACUUUAUUUUUCUAUUCUUUAUUUCUUAAAAGAUAAAUUGGAAAAAAUAAACAGAAAAUAAUACUUUAAAAAAAACUACAUAAAGUCCUAACCCCUGUACAGGAAACAGUUUGGACCUUUGUAAGAAGUGAGGCAGACUGAAAGAGGAGAUCCAGGGAUGUGUAUAUCAGGAGUAACUGUGCUGGAACUGUUCCUCGGGUGGCCAUGGAUCAGGUAUCAGAGCAAUUCAUCUACCAAUCGGACGGUCAGUGGAACAAUCUCCAGCUCCUCCUGUGGAAGUAUCAAGUAUCCUUAGGCAAGAUACUCAAACCACUGUUGCUCCCAGUGCAUCCAUCAGAGAUAAAAGUACUUAGGUAUAGAUUUAAAAAACUAUGGACUUCCGGCUAAUGGCGGCUUGGAGUGAGUAGUGUUUUGGUGAGCUCCUGCACGGUCGACCUUUUUUUUUAAAUAAUUACUGGGCACUUUUUUUCUGACUCGACCCCAAGCGAUAUCUAACUCGUUUUAAAAUAGUACACUUUUUCAUUUUGGUCACUAAAAUGCCACCAAAGCCGACUAAAGGAGGAAGCUCGAUUCGGCCUCACCUGCGGCCUGCUUCUCCUGAUGAGCCCUUGACCCAUCCC